UCCGUAGGUGAACCUGCGGAAGGAUCAUUACCGAGUGCGGGUCCUACGGGCCGAACCUCCCAUCCGUGUCUAUCCUACCCUGUUGCUUCGGCGGGCCCGCCGCUUGUCGGCCGCCGGGGGGGCGCCUCUGCCCCCCGGGCCCGUGCCCGCCGGAGACCCCAACACGAACACUGUCUGAAAGCGUGCAGUCUGAGUUGAUUGGGUGCAAUCAGUUAAUACUUUCAACAUUGGAUCUCUUGGUUCCGGCAUCGAUGAAGAACGCAGCGAAAUGCGAUAACUAAUGUGAAUUGCAGAAUUCAGUGAAUCAUCGAGUCUUUGAACGCACAUUGCGCCCCCUGGUAUUCCGGGGGGCAUGCCUGUCCGAGCGUCAUUGCUGCCCUCAAGCUCGGUUUGUGUGUUGGGUCGCCGUCCCCCUCUCCGGGGGGACGGGCCCGAAAGGCAGCGGCGGCACCGCGUCCGAUCCUCGAGCGUAUGGGGCUUUGUCACAUGCUCUGUAGGAUUGGCCGGCGCCUGCCGACGUUUUCCAACCAUUAUUUCCAGGUUGACCUCGGAUCAGGUAGGGAUACCCGCUGAACUUAAGCAUAUCAAUAAGCGGA
rnacentral:rRNA from 1 species